AGGAGAAGAAGAACAAAUAAUGAAUGAUUGCGUCUACAUUUAUGGAAAGAGUUUGAUUGGGUAGAAAUGUUGCUUCUUUGGAGAAAUGUGUACUCAAAGAAUUACUCAUGUAGGUUUUAUCCUGGAGACCAGCUUCAAGAGUUGAUGGGAAGGAUGGAUAAAGCAAGGAGACCGACCUGAGAGAGACUGCUGGAAUAAAUUUGGAAUUGAGUGAGAAAAGGAUGCUAGGCUUACACCUUUGGCACUGACCCCUAACAUAUUUG